UAGCCUAGUGGUUAAGGCUAUGGAUCGCCAAUCCGGAGACGUCGGGUUCGAUUCCCGU
rfam:Aedes albopictus isolate Foshan contig185878, whole genome shotgun sequence.